UGAGGAACAUGACCUUCGGCGGGGGAUAGCCGGCCCAACGGCCGGGUAAUACCGCGUACGACCUUUUGGGGACAUCCCCGAUUGGUGAAAGCAGCAAUGCGCCGAAAGAGUGCCUCGCGGCCUAUCAACUAGUUGGUGGGUAAUGGCUCACCAAGGCGACGACGGGUANCUGGUCUGAGAGGAUGGCCAGCCACAUUGGGACUGAGACACGGCCCAGACUCCUACGGGGAGCAG
rnacentral:rRNA from 1 species